GACGAACGCUGGCGGCGUGCCUAAUACAUGCAAGUUGAGCGCUGAAGGUUGGUACUUGUACCAACUGGAUGAGCAGCGAACGGGUGAGUAACGCGUGGGGAAUCUGCCUUUGAGCGGGGGACAACAUUUGGAAACGAAUGCUAAUACCGCAUAAAAACUUUAAACACAAGUUUUAAGUUUGAAAGAUGCAAUUGCAUCACUCAAAGAUGAUCCCGCGUUAUAUUAGCUAGUUGGUGAGGUAAAGGCUCACCAAGGCGAUGAUACAUAGCCGACCUGAGAGGGUGAUCGGCCACAUUGGGACUGAGACACGGCCCAAACGCCUACGGGAGGCAGCAGUAGGGAAUCUUCGGCAAUGGACGAAAGUCUGACCGAGCAACGCCGCGUGAGUGAAGAAGGGUUUCGGAUCGUAAAACUCUGUUGGUAGAGAAGAACGUUGGUGAGAGUGGAAAGCUCAUCAAGUGACGGUAACUACCCAGAAAGGGACGGCUAACUACGUG
rnacentral:rRNA from 1 species